UUCCGGUUGAUCCUGCCGGACCCGACUGCUAUCAGAGUGAGAUUAAGCCAUGCGAGUUAACGUAGCAAUACGUGGCGCACGGCUCAGUAACACGUAGUCAACAUGCCCAGAGGACGUGGAUAACCUCGGGAAACUGAGUCUAAACCGCGAUAAGUGAGGAUUUCUGGAAUGGUUCCUGACUAAAAUCUAUAUGGCCUCUGGAUUGGACUGCGGCCGAUCAGGCUGUUGGUGAGGUAAUGGCCCACCAAACCUGUAACCGGUACGGGCUCUGAGAGGAGGAGCCCGGAGAUGGGCACUGAGACAAGGGCCCAGGCCCUAUGGGGCGCAGCAGGCGCGAAACCUCUGCAAUAGGCGCAAGCCUGACAGGGUUACUCUGAGUGACUUUCGCUAAGAAAGUCUUUUGGCACCUCUAAAAAGGGUGCAGAAUAAGGGGUGGGCAAGUCUGGUGUCAGCCGCCGCGGUAAUACCAGCACCCCGAGUGGUCGGGACGAUUAUUGGGCCUAAAGCAUCCGUAGCCGGUUCUGCAAGUCCCCCGUUAAAUCCAGCUGCUCAACAGAUGGGCCGCGGAGGAUACUACAGAGCUAGGAGGCAGGAGAGGCAAGCGGUACUCAGUGGGUAGGGGUAAAAUCCGUUGAUCCAUUGAAGACCACCAGUGGCGAAGGCGGCUUGCCAGAAUGCGCUCGACGGUGAGGGAUGAAAGCUGGGGGAGCAAACCGGAUUAGAUACCCGGGUAGUCCCAG
rnacentral:rRNA from 1 species